AGACAAUACCUCAGAGUGAUGCAAGACAGAAGCACCACCAUAGUAAGAUCCGCCACCGGAGACCAGGCAAGACAACCGCAAUCAGCCAACAGCGGGCGUCGCCAGAAACACGUCAUCCCAAGGGGGAAACACCUACCCUGCCCUCCUGCAGCAGCCGAACGCUCACACUUCCACACAGGGAUAAAAGAACACAGACUGGGCUGUGAGAAUUGUGAGGUGGACUGAAAAUGAAUAAUUUGAAACAAGGUAUCUUUACUGGCUAUAAUACAAUUGGCACUAGUAACAAGCCCUAGGCAAAGCAGGUAAGGCAGAACAGUUCCUACUUUGGCUUACACAUCUGCCUAGCCUGCCUGAUUUUCCGUACUAUGUCAGACAUUUGAUGAACCGACUUAUUAGAAGGGUGGAAUCCUGUGACAGUACCACACUGAAAGUCACUGAGCUUUUCUACUGCGAAUGUUUGAAAACGGAGACUGCAUUGGUGUAUACCUGCUUUUAUGUACCUGUUAAUUAGCAAUGGUAUAGCCAAACAUCUUAAUUCGAAGGAGUGUCCCCACCUACUUUUGGUCAUGUUGCGUAUUUAAAUAAAUGGUUUAUGGAGGCUAUUUAAAAAAAAUAA